GUUAAGCGACUAAGCGUACACGGUGGAUGCCCUGGCAGUCAGAGGCGAUGAAGGGCGUGCUAAUCUGCGAUAAGCGCCGGUAAGGUGAUAUGAACCGUUAUAACCGGCGAUACCCGAAUGGGGAAACCCAGUGUGACUCGUCACACUAUCAUUAACUGAAUCCAUAGGUUAAUGAGGCGAACCGGGGGAACUGAAACAUCUAAGUACCCCGAGGAAAAGAAAUCAACCGAGAUUCCCCCAGUAGCGGCGAGCGAACGGGGAGGAGCCCAGAGCCUGAAUCAGCAUGUGUGUUAGUGGAAGCGUCUGGAAAGGCGCGCGAUACAGGG
rnacentral:rRNA from 1 species